rnacentral:misc_RNA from 1 species
AUGGUCAAGGAAGCUCUAGUAGCAGUCAGGAGAGGGCAUAACUCAAUUCUUCAUUCAGAUAUGGAUGAUGCAGUUGAUCGGCUUACAGUAGGACCUAGACGAGUUGGGAUUGAGUUGGGUCAUCAGGGGCAGUGUCGUCGAGCAAUUACUGAGGUGGGGACUGCAUUGACUUCUCAUCUUCUGAGGCAAUAUGAGAAUGCAGAAGUUGAGCGUUGUGACAGAAUAUCUAUCAAUCCGCGUGGCCAGACCUUGUCUCAAGUUGUGUUUCACCGUCUUGAUGAUGAGUCAUACAUGUUUGAGCGGCUACCACGGUUGCUUCAUCGUCUUCAGGUAUUUCUUGGAGGGAGAGCUGCUGAAGAGGUCAUUUAUGGACGUGAUACUUCAAGAGCAUCUGUAAACUACCUUGCUGAUGCAUCCUGGCUUGCCCGUAAGAUAAUCACAAUAUGGAAUAUGAAAAACCCAAUGGCCAUACAUGGAGAACCUCCCCCCUGGGUAAAGAGAGUGAAGUUUGUGGGUCCACGCCUGGACUUUGG